AGCGAACGCUGGCGGCAGGCUUAACACAUGCAAGUCGAGCGGGCGUAGCAAUACGUCAGCGGCAGACGGGUGAGUAACGCGUGGGAACGUACCUUUUGGUUCGGAACAACACAGGGAAACUUGUGCUAAUACCGGAUAAGCCCUUACGGGGAAAGAUUUAUCGCCGAAAGAUCGGCCCGCGUCUGAUUAGCUAGUUGGUGUGGUAACGGCGCACCAAGGCGACGAUCAGUAGCUGGCUGAGAGGAUGAUCAGCCACAUUGGGACUGAGACACGACCCAAACUCCUACGGGAGGCAGCAGUGGGGAAUAUUGGACAAUGGGCGCAAGCCUGAUCCAGCCAUGCCGCGUGAGUGAUGAAGGCCCUAGGGUUGUAAAGCUCUUUUGUGCGGGGAAGAUAAUGACGGUACCGCAAGAACAAGCCCCGGCUAACUUCGUGCCAGCAGCCGCGGUAAC
rnacentral:rRNA from 1 species